CUGUGGCAGGACGCACUUCAGACACAAUCCAAUCCAGUUCAAGCUCCUUGCUUCUGUUCUCUCUCUUUCUCUUCCACUCGGCGUAGCACUUCAUAUACGAUCCAGUAUCUUGUUUUGGGGUGCACACCGUUUUGAAAGUUCUGGUGUUUUUUUUUUUUAUGAGUCGGGAGUAAAGGAAAGAAGGCAACUUCCAGGCAUUUUAAGGACAACCGGGCCAAAUUUCGUUUAUAAAGCUGUUUGAGAGUUGGCAUGUAGGUCUCAUCCACAUCAAGUUCAUAGAGAUACCAGUUACAUAUGCUUGGAGAUUAUGUAGGACUAGCACUGGAAGUGGUUUAUAUCUGGAGUCAUUCAGGUCCCAUUUGAUUCUGCUAUCUCAAAGGAAAGGGAUUGCCUACUGGGGAAUUUAUCCAACAAAGAUGAAUGAUGAUAAAAACAUAAUUUUAGCCUUGCUCUGGGUUAUUCCAAUCAGUGCGUUCAGAUAAUUUUGAACAAUGAGGAUCCUGGUGCAGGUGCAAAUGCAGCUUCAAGGGUAGACAUGACAUUUGUGGCCACCGACCGCCUGUCCGAGCUAGUUUGGUCUCCCCAGAAAGGUUUGAGUCUUAGGUAUGCUGAUGGAAGUUUCUCCAACAAGAAGCCCUCUCUUUUAUGGGGUGUAGGACCUACCAAUAUGGCAAGUGGAUCAAGUUAUGAUAUACCUCUCUUAAAUACUGACAAAACUAUCAACAAAAAAAAUUUUAUGGCAUCUCUGGCAGCAAGUAAUAUGGGAAGUGAAGUGGCAGGAGGAGAUGACUCCGCUAUAUUUCCUACAGGUAUCAUGCCACCAAGUGGAUCAGGUCAUGAACUCAAGACUGACGGGCCUGGGCUGGAAGUGGCACAAAAUGAUCAAAAGGAACCUACUGGCAGCUUUACAAAUGUCGGUGAUGGAAAUCAUGCAUUUGGAAUGGAAAUUGUUUUGGCCUCUGAAAUUCAUGGCGUGAAAGAAUGUGAAGCUCACGAUACUAAAAUGCAGAAUGCAGGAAAAGGACACGCGGAAUCAACUUCAGUUUUCGGAAAAGAAUGCAAAAAUACAAUUGUCAUGAGCCCUCCUGGAAUUUUUCCUUUGGGAAAAUUGGAGUCAACUGCUGAGAAUGAUUUAGAAAUUCCACUUGGUGAAAAUGUUUAUGGUCUGACAACUAAGAUUGUAACAUUGGAAUCUGCUGAUAGAGUUGAAAAUAACACUCAGCUGGAUGAUGAGUUACCACCUACAGACAAGACUCUGGUAGUUAAACAGUCUCCCACUAACAGCACAAUCAAAAGGGAUAAGAAAGGCAAGUGUAAGGCCUUAUCUGAUGGAGAUGCAAAUGAAAUGACGUUGAAUGAGGAGGAUGGAAGCCAUGAGAGUGUUGAAAGCUGUAACAGCACUGGGCUAUUUUCAACAGGAAAACGGGGAUGGAACUUUGAGCAACAAUUGAUUGUAGGAAGCAAAAGAGUAAAAAGGCAAAUCCAAGAAGGUCCCAGUUCUUCAUCAAUCAUUACACAAGAUAGCUCAUUCAUGAAUUGGAUCUCAAACAUGAUGAAGGGUUUCUCGAAAUCAAGUGAAGGUGAGGUACCUUCUCUUUCUCCUACCCUUGCAAAUUGCAAUCAUGGACAUGAGAAUCCUGAUCAGGAUCUUAUCACAUGCAAUAGAAACAAAGAUCCUGGGUGCAGAACUAUAGGAUUUCAAUCCAUUUUUCAGUCUUUGUAUUGCCGAAAGACAACUACUCAAGAAGCUGCUGCGUUGAAUGUUGAUCAUCCAACAGAAGGAUUGAAAGAACAUGAGCUGGAUAAUAAGAUAUGUGACUUGAAUGCUACUCCAAUAGCUUGUCGUAUGGUGACCGGUAAUGUUUACAAACGGUUUCUGCCAUCAAAUGAUAGGUUCAAUGAGUCUGCAUCUGGCAAUCAAGCUAGUCCAGUGAUCAAUUCUAAAGAUUUAUCUAUGAACUUUGCUGACAUUCAGGAAAAUAACAGGAGUAACUCUACAGUGAACAAAAAUUCAUGCAAUUUGGCAACUGAUAAUGAGAAAGAUGGAACAGGCUCCAAUUCUUCUCAGGGUAAACAUAAGACAUACAGUAUUGAGAAAAUUGAUUCUGAACCACCAUUUGAAGGAAAGAUAGCCUGUAAGUUUGGUCACAAAGGUGACCCAUUGGAAAGUUUGUUGAUAGCUCGGUUUUCUCCAAAAAAGUCUGGUCCUUUGUUGAACCAGGAUCCUUCCAAAAGAAGUACUGGUGAGGCUCUCGACUGCUCUUCUGAUGGCCGGAGGCAGAAACCUCAAAUGCUGAACCCUCUUGUUUCUUUUGAUGAGCAUGAAAAUGAAGAGCCUCAGCAUGAGGGAAAUAGUGGUACUGCUACUGACUCUUCAUUUGGUUCCUCUAAAAUCAAAGGACUCCAUGAUGAGAAGUCCAUGUAUAAACUGAAACCUAUCAUACCUGCCCCAAGAUUCAAAAAUUCGGAGGCAAUGGCUUCUGUCUUUGCUGGGAGACUGGACGCCCUCAACCACUUUGCUCCAUCAGAUGAACCAGCUCAUGCAAUCAUGACCUGCCUUUUUUGUGGCAUAAAGGGUCACCAUUUGCAAGAAUGUUCAGGGAUAACUGAUACUGAGCUUGAAGAUCUUCUGAGAAAUAUUAAUUCAUAUAAUGGGGUAAAAGAAUUGACUUGUGUGUGUAUCAGAUGCUUUCAGCUCAACCAUUGGGCUGUUGCAUGUCCUGGUGCAUGUUCAAGAGUAAGGAAUCAAGCAGAAUGUGAUGCUUCUUUGGUCAACCAAUGCGGUCCUAGCAAAAUGGAGUUUAAUGCAAGAAAUGAAGACAAUACAAGGAUAAAAGAUACUACUGCUGGUCCACUUGCAGUUUGUGACAGGAAUGAUUCUGCAAUGGAGAAAAAUCUGAAUUUGACCUGGAAAUUGAAUGAAGCUGUUAAUUCUGGAAAAAUAAAAUUGAAUGUAAAAUUUGUUGGCAAAGAAAUUGCUUCAAGUUCCAGGGAGAAAAAGUUGAAAGAAAACCUACUGGCACCUUUAUGUGAAUCUGGCAAGGGCCAGAUUUCUGAAGUACCAAAGGGAAUCUUUGAUGCCAUAAGAAAGCUUCGUUUGUCCCGAACAGAUAUUCUCAAAUGGACAAACUCCCACAUGCCACUCCCACAUCUUGAUGGUUUCUUCUUGCGCUUGCGUCUUGGGAAGUGGAAAGAGGGACUUGGGGAAACUGGAUAUUAUGUAGCUUGCAUUAUUGGAGCACAAAUGGAGAGUUCACCACAUAAAUCCAAAAAAUCUAUUGGUGUCAACCUUGGUGGAAUCAAAUGUCUAGUUGAAAGUCAAUAUGUCUCCAACCAUGAUUUCCUUGAGGAUGAGCUUGUGGCGUGGUGGGCUGCUACCUCAAGGAGUGGUGGCAAGUUGCCUUCCAAAGAAGAUUUAAGAUUGAAAGUUGAAGAGAAGAAAAUGUUAGGAUUUUAGGCAUAACUCAAUUGCAGAUGAGUUUGGAGUCGCUUCUUAUACAAAUGUAAAGUUAGAAGCGAUGCCAAAGGUCUACCAGCCUAUCUUCUUGCAUUACGAGAUAAAGACUCAGCCACCAAGUUACCGACUCAACGACAUACCUGUAACAAACGAACGUUUCAGAACAUAUGUUUUUAACAGUGCCUCUUCAAAGUCCAUAUUCCCUGA